GUUAGUCGGGUCCUAAGCUGAGGCCGACAGGCGUAGGCGAUGGAUAACAGGUUGAUAUUCCUGUACCACCUAUAAUCGUUUUAAUCGAUGGGGGGGACGCAGUAGGAUAGGCGAAGCGUGCGAUUGGAUUGCACGUCUAAGCAGUAAGGCUGAGUAUUAGGCAAAUCCGGUACUCAUUAAGGCUGAGCUGUGAUGGGGAGAAGACAUUGUGUCUUCGAGUCGUUGAUUUCACACUGCCGAGAAAAGCCUCUAGAUAGAAAAUAGGUGCCCGUACCGCAAACCGACACAGGUAGUCAAGAUGAGAAUUCUAAGGUGAGCGAGCGAACUCUCGUUAAGGAACUCGGCAAAAUGACCCCGUAACUUCGGGAGAAGGGGUGCUCUUUAGGGUUAACGCCCAGAAGAGCCGCAGUGAAUAGGCCCAAGCGACUGUUUAUCAAAAACACAGGUCUCUGCUAAACCGUAAGGUGAUGUAUAGGGGCUGACGCCUGCCCGGUGCUGGAAGGUUAAGAGGAGUGGUUAGCUUCUGCGAAGCUACGAAUCGAAGCCCCAGUAAACGGCGGCCGUAACUAUAACGGUCCUAAGGUAGCGAAAUUCCUUGUCGGGUAAGUUCCGACCCGCACGAAAGGCGUAACGAUUUGGGCACUGUCUCAACGAGAGACUCGGUGAAAUCAUAGUACCUGUGAAGAUGCAGGUUACCCGCGACAGGACGGAAAGACCCCGUGGAGCUUUACUGUAGCCUGAUAUUGAAAUUCGGCACAGCUUGUACAGGAUAGGUAGGAGCCUUUGAAACGUGAGCGCUAGCUUACGUGGAGGCGCUGGUGGGAUACUACCCUAGCUGUGUUGGCUUUCUAACCCGCACCACUUAUCGUGGUGGGAGACAGUGUCAGGCGGGCAGUUUGACUGGGGCGGUCGCCUCCUAAAAGGUAACGGAGGCGCUCAAAGGUUCCCUCAGAAUGGUUGGAAAUCAUUCAUAGAGUGUAAAGGCAUAAGGGAGCUUGACUGCGAGACCUACAAGUCGAGCAGGGUCGAAAGACGGACUUAGUGAUCCGGUGGUUCCGUAUGGAAGGGCCAUCGCUCAACGGAUAAAAGCUACCCCGGGGAUAACAGGCUUAUCUCCCCCAAGAGUUCACAUCGACGGGGAGGUUUGGCACCUCGAUGUCGGCUCAUCGCAUCCUGGGGCUGUAGUCGGUCCCAAGGGUUGGGCUGUUCGCCCAUUAAAGCGGUACGCGAGCUGGGUUCAGAACGUCGUGAGACAGUUCGGUCCCUAUCCGUCGUGGGCGUAGGAAAUUUGAGAGGAGCUGUCCUUAGUACGAGAGGACCGGGAUGGACAUACCUCUGGUGUACCAGUUGUCGUGCCAACGGCAUAGCUGGGUAGCUAUGUGUGGACGGGAUAAGUGCUGAAAGCAUCUAAGCAUGAAGCCCCCCUCAAGAUGAGAUUUCCCAACUUCGGUUAUAAGAUCCCUCAAAGAUGAUGAGGUUAAUAGGUUCGAGGUGGAAGCAUGGUGACAUGUGGAGCUGACGAAUACUAAUCGAUCGAAGACUUAAUCAA
rnacentral:rRNA from 2 species